CUUGCGACCAUAUCACGUUCAAACACCGGUACCCGUACGAUCACCGAAGUUAAGCAGCAUCGAGCCUAGUCAGUAGCUAAAUGGGUGACCACUUGAGAAUACCAGAUGUG